UUCACAUUGAGGAAAGACCUUCUCACCCGUCCUGAGAGGGAGGAUAUUCACACUCCUGACCCACUGGAAACACACCGCUGGGGUACAGAUCACAGAUGGGGACGCUUGGAGGAUCCGUUUGGGUUUUGGCUGGGGAGAGAAGGUGGAUGUUAAUGUGACUUUAUAUGAGAACACCCCUGUUCACGCAGACAGAGACACAUUCACGUGCACACGAGAGAGUGACAGCAGUAAAAACAAACCCUAAAUCAAAACUUUUUAAAAUCCUGAAUCAAUAUUGGAGUUACCUUUGCACGCUGGAGGAAGGAUGACACCGUGGCUGAAGUAUUUCUUUGAGACAGG
rnacentral:lncRNA from 1 species